CUGGAGUUUCUUCCCCGGGAGUGACCUCUGCAGGCUCAGUAGGAUGUUCUUGUUGUGGUGCAUCAUCAUCCGAUGAGGGUGGAGCAUUUUCUUGUUGUAUAGCUGGCUCCCAAGUAUUAGAGCCAUCCGCAAAAUGAGUAGGUCUCCGAUUUCGCCCACGCUCAGUCCCUCUUGCCAUGUCAACCUACACAGUUUCACUUUAGUCAAGAAUUUAAGAAUAAUAUUUCAUAUUAGUCAAUUUCCAUCUAAAAGUCUACCCAUAUAUUCUCUCUCUGAAAUGAACCUCAAGAUUCCUAACCUAGGCUCUGAUACCACUCUGUCACGCCCCAAACCCAGCACCUGAGUUGGGCACGAGACACGGCCACACAACCCUAGAGCAAUGCCCUGAGGAUCAUGUAAGGCCUAAAAAUUUAACACUUCAAAAUUUUAAGUAACCAAUUAAAUACCAAAUCAAUCAACCGAGUCACAACUUCAAAUCGAAUGUAAACUUGUUCAAUACAAUUAUUCAAAUGUUCAUUGGUAUCAGAGAAUUUA
rnacentral:lncRNA from 1 species